rnacentral:rRNA from 1 species
GUUGAACGCUGGCGGCAUGCCUUACACAUGCAAGUCGAACGGCAGCACGGGAGCAAUCCUGGUGGCGAGUGGCGAACGGGUGAGUAAUAUAUCGGAACGUGCCCAGUCGUGGGGGAUAACGCAGCGAAAGCUGUGCUAAUACCGCAUACGAUCUAUGGAUGAAAGCGGGGGAUCGCAAGACCUCGCGCGAUUGGAGUGGCCGAUAUCAGAUUAGGUAGUUGGUGGGGUAAAGGCUCACCAAGCCGACGAUCUGGAGCUGGUCUGAGAGGACGACCAGCCACACUGGAACUGAGACACGGUCCAGACUCCUACGGGAGGCAGCAGUGGGGAAUUUUGGACAAUGGGCGCAAGCCUGAUCCAGCAAUGCCGCGUGCAGGAUGAAGGCCUUCGGGUUGUAAACUGCUUUUGUACGGAGCGAAACGAUUUCCAUUAAUACUGGGGAUUAAUGACGGUACCGUAAGAAUAAGCACUGGCUAACUACGUGCCAGCAGCCGCAGUAACAC